AAUUUUGGGUGAUUGCGGCGGCUUUAUGUCAGCUGAGGAAAGUCCAUGCUCGCACAGGCUGUGAUGUCUGUAGUGUUCGUGCUCGGUGAAAAAAUAAGCCGGGGGACCAUUUUAAUGGUUACGGCGGGAAAACCGGCUAAGGUCUUUGGCUAUGCCCUAGUAUUCCUGAAAAGUGCCACAGUGACGAAGCAAUUCAGGAAACUGGAUUGAUGGAACGCGGUAAACCCCUCGAGCGGGAAACCCAAACUUAUGGUAGGGGAGCUUCACAUAGGAAACUGAACUGAUUGUGAGGGGAGACUUUUUAGUCUCGAGAUAGAUGAUUGCCACUGCAUGAUUGAACCUGAAGAUUGUGCUUCGACAAAACAUGGCUUACAGAA
rnacentral:RNase_P_RNA from 2 species